UAACUAUAGUGUUUAUUAUAUAUUUUUAAUAAAUUUAAACUUGAAACAUCUAUAAACUUAGUAAAGGGGAUUAAACAUUAUUUUUAUUUUAUUUAAGUACUGAAGAGGAAUUUCUUGAAUUAAGACAAAGAAAAAAUUUAGUUUUGUACCUUUUGCAUCAUGGUUUAGCCAGAUUUUAUUAUUGGAAAAUAAACCUAGAAAUCUAAUGGGCUAUCUUUAAUCAAAACUUUUAGGUUAAGGGAGUAAUUGUGGAAAAAAUUUUCUUAGAAUUAAAGAUAGAAAUGAAAUUUUAUCCGUAUUAGAUGAUAGCUAGUUCUUUCCAAAGGGUAUAUAAGUACCGUGAAUUAAUCAUUCUUAAAUUAUAACUAAAUAAUUAUCAGUUUAAGGGUUAAUUUAUACAGAUUUUUGAGGAUAAGCUCGAAAAUAUUAAAUUUAAAGUUGUACUUAAUAUUUUAAAUUAAAUUUAGGCUUGAAAAUGGUCAUAAUACUUGAUUUUGUUACAAUUUCAUUAACCUUAUAAGUACAUGAUAAAAUUACUUUAAAUAUGGGAAGAAAAUUUAAUAAUCUUAAAUUAAAUUAAUUAUAUGCUAAAAUGAGUAUUAACAAUCUUAUAUUUUUAAAUAAAACAGGAAUAGAAUCUUUAAAAUUUUUUUUAGUUCAAAAUUGUGAAAAGGAACUCGGCAAAGAUUUAUUCUGCCUGUUUAUCAAAAACAUGGCUCCUCGUAAACAAUAAAUGGGGAGUCCGACCUGCCCGGUGAAAAAAUUUUUAACGGCCGCGGUACUCUGACCGUGCGAAGGUAGCAUAAUCAUUUGCCUUAUAAUUGAAGGCUUGUAUGAAUGGUUUAACAAGAAUAAAGCUGUCUCUUCACAAUUAAAUAUAAUUUUAUUUAUAGGUGAAGAAGCCUAUAUAGAAUUGAAAGACAAGAAGACCCUAUCGAGCUUUAAAAAAGUUAGCAAAUAUAAACUCUUAUUUAUAUAGAAUACGUGUUAAAAAUUUUAGUUGGGGCGACUGAGGAACAAAAAAAGCUUCCUUACAAAAUAACAACAUGCUAGUAAUGAUCCAGGUGUCUUGAUUAAAGGAAUUAGUUACCGUAGGGAUAACAGCAUUAUCUUUUUUAAGAGCUCAAAUCGAAAAAAAGGUUUGUGACCUCGAUGUUGGACCAGAAUAUCCCGAAGAUGCAGCCGUCUUCAAAGGUUGGUCUGUUCGACCAUUAAAAUUCUACGUGAUCUGAGUUCAGACCGGCGUGAGCCAGGUCAGUUUCUAUCUUCA
rnacentral:rRNA from 1 species